ACAAUUUUUCAUAUAAAUCGUGAUACACGGAUAUUGUUUUGAGCUGAGUGGCGGUGCUAGAUUCCUUUGCUUGAAAACAUAAGGACACAGAUCGUGUCUAUAACCAGCUGGAGAUGAUGUCUCCUGGGGCUAAAUUACAGCAACAUUCGUCCUAAACCAGGAUUUCCAUGUUAUGUUGGCAAAUAAU